UAACAUUCAAAUAGCUGAAAAUUGUACAACCUGAAAAAUGUUGCCUUUCUAAAAAAUUCCGCCAUAAUUUUUUUUUUUUUUUUGCAUUCAAAAACUUACAAUCACCAAACACCAAAUGGGCACUGAAAAUAUAAGCAGAACAUCAGCUAAACCCUCUGUAGUUUGUCUUUUCCUUCAGAGCAGUUUCCUCUAUGACCUGUUGGAUGAAAUGACACAGUAAGUGGCGUUGUGGUAACUGUAGUACGUCUGCAUGAUACCUGAGGAGAGACAUAGCUGAGGUCGUGAGAUGAAGAUCAGGUCCAGCAGUGUGUUCUUGUCCGUUGUAGCAGCAGUGAUCAGUUGACCAUAUCCCUUGGACUGAAAGAAAUCCAAAAUUGGCUUACUUGCAUUAGAAAAGAGAUUCUCAUUGAAGUCGCCACAGACGAUGAUGGGAUGACAGUCCAUGAUCUCAAGUGAGUCCAGAAGGCUUCCCAGAUUGGACAGGAAUGAUGGCACACUGUAGUCUGGAGGUCUGUACACAGCUGCAAUCAGAGCACUUACAGGAGAUUCAACCUUCAAAGCCACAAACUCAAGGUCAGUCACAUUAUUCAGGUACUGUUUCUCCACAACCUGCAAAUGGUUUUUCACAUAAACAGCGACUCCACCACCUCCUUUACUGGCCAUCUGUGGAAAGUUAGUGUAGGACAAAUGUCUGUUGCGUUUGAACAUGGUGUAGCCCUCAAACUGGAGACUGUCUGCCACAAAGGAGCCCUGUAGGUGAGUUUCUGUCAGACACAAAACAUCUGCAAGACACAGUUCAUGAUGGCUUUUGAUGUCAUUCACAUGAGCAGGUAAUCCUUCGGUGUUGUGAUGAAUGAUGCUCACAGUGUCCUAUCUGCUAAGAGAAUGCUGGAUCUGGAGAAAAGGCAUGAGGUGAUCAAAGUUAGCUUGCGUCAUGGUCUCCAAAGAUACAGUGACUGCAGGGUUAGCAUGGAUUUUACUCUCAUCCAAAUCAAGCAUGUGCAGUCCGCUGAGAGAGGUCACUCGACUGAUAGCUACAUAGGCCAUGCCGGGCUAAAAAAUGUGCUUCAGAGAAACAACAGCAGAUUUUCUGGUCAUACCUUGAACCUUGUGUAUUGUGCAUGCAAAGGCAAGUUUCACAGGAAACUGUCUGCGUACCACUCCUCUCUGUUGUAGAGCCUCCUCCGAUCUCUCGAUGUACACAAGAUUGUCUCCUAGAGUACGAUAGCUCCUGCCAGCUGUUUCAUCAUCCAUCCUGAGACCAAGCAUAGUGACAAGAGUAGAACUGUUGUUUUCAGAGCUUAUGAGACGGCCUACUGUAGCAAAUGAUCCAUUCACCAAUCCUUGAGACACAUCUAUGUUUCUGGUAAGCAUGACUCUAGCACCUACUGCAACAUCUAGUGUGUCAGGUAGAUCAUUUCUGCUUCCAUGACAUGGUGCACCUUGUCUUUUCAUGUGUCCAGUGUGUGGGUCUUUUUUAAAGUCAUCUGCAUCAAUGGUGGUGAUAUCAGAAUGGAGCAGAGAUAUUGUAGCAGAGUUGUGUGCUGCGACUUGUUUGUUUGUAGCAAAAAUGUGCAGGACAUCAGAGGGACACAGUUGUGGUUCAGUGACACGCUGUGACAGCAGAGCUCUGUCAGCUUCAGAAAGCUCAUCUGACCUUGUUUUCACACGGAGUCUGUUCAGCAUCUCGGCAAAAGUUUUGUCAUCCUUCUGUCGCAUGAUCUCAUCUAAAGUGAUCACCUGGAAGUUGUCUCUCCAGAGGUCAAGCUCACUUGGAUCAUAGACACAGAGUGGUUUGGACUGUCGCACAGGCGGUAGCUGGUAAAAGUCUCCCACAGCAAUGACUGACAUUCCUCCAAAGGGUCUGUGGCUGCCUUUAAUCUGUUUCAGUCUCACAUCCACAUAGGCAAAAAGUGGCUUCGACACCAUGGAGAUUUCAUCAAUGAUGAUGAUUUCAGCAUUUAAAAGCUCACACCUGAUUUCAUCAAGUUGGUUCCCAAGACCUUGAAAAGGAGGUUUCAAACUUCUGGGCAGCUUGAGGAGAGAGUGCAGUGUUGUUCCAGAGAUGUUAAAGGCUGCAGUUCCGGUAAAAGCAGUCAACAGCACAGUCGGGUUUGAGAUGUCAGCUUCCUCAGCACGUCUAGGUAGUGUUCUCAGAAUCUUUGAUGCUUCUGAAUGAAUGCAUUUAAUGAGAUGUGACUUUCCAGUGCCAGCACCACCAUUGAUGUAGUAGAAAAACUGCUCUGGUUGUGGUCCACAGACUCGUUUUAUGCACCAGUCUCUCACUGCAUAGAACACACAUGCCUGUUUCUGGUUCAGACUCUGAUACAUUUGUCGUAACCGUGUGGGAUCGAUUGUAGGGGGCUCUCUCAUGACUCUGGCCUCUGUAGCAGCAUUUGCUUGUCUGCUGUAAUCCGGUACAUCCUCUUGGACAUUUUCACACUGUCUGGCGUCCAGUUCAUCGAUACACUCCAACCUCACCAGUUCAGAUUCAGGUGCCAAAUUACACCAUUCAUCGACCACACCUCUGUUCUGUUCAAAGUCCUCGAGAGCGGAGUCAAUUUCCUCACUGUUUUUUUCAUAUCUCUCUCGGUUUCUUUUCACGAUGAGUUUCACACUCAGGGGUCGGUCAGAAUACGGCAGCUGAACCACACCUCUCUCAUAGAAUGACUCAUACGUGGGAAAAUAUGGUCUUUUCAGCUCAUCGUCUGAUCUGUAUGGAAGAUACAGUCUAAGCAAUGUGCCGUAAAACUGCUCAGGGUAUUUCUCUUUGGAUAUGCGGCGAUACCUGAUGACAGCAGCGUUGUCACUUUCUCGUCUCUGUAUAAAGCCUAGUUCAUUCAGCAAAGGUACCACUUUCUUGCCCUUGGUCUGUUGUCCAUACACCAGUCUGCAGGUAGAAGCAAAAUCAGCCAUGCACAUCUCUUCAAACUCUGGUGAUUCAGGUCUGGAUUUGUACUUGUCUGUUAAGGAUGUCAUCCACACAUUCAAGCUGUCUGGUGUUGUGUUGUCAAGGCUUGACACAGGCAGACUCAUUUUCACUGGGUUGUCAUCAGUUGGGACGAAAACCACACUGCGUGAACUCUUUUUCAUGUUCAGUGAAGUCACUCGGGCAACAGCUUCUUGUGCUGAUACUUCUCGCUUUUUGGAAUACGCCUGCAUGACCGCUUUCAUUUCAUCACAUUCAUUGACACAUUCUCUGUCGGAGUUCUGAAUGAGUGUUUGCAGGUACUGGCUCACAGAGUUCUCACUUUUACACAUGUACGUACAUAUGUAAUGGAUCAGACUGUAGUAGCUGAGAAUGAACUGCACAUCAAUGUUUGCAUCCCAAGCUUUGAGCAGGUGAGGGUUGUAGGUGUUUACCCAGCAGUCUUUAGGCUCACGCUUCAGAAUGAUGUUGCUGGACUGACUCAUCACAUUCAUGUGUUUCUCAUACUCAUCAGCGGUUAAGUCACAGACGGACAGGAGCUGUUGAAAACUCAUGGAUUCAGUUUGUGUCUCAUUCAGCAGCUGAUUCAGUGGUGCAAGUUUCUCUUUGGCUCUCUUAAGUCUCUCUGACUCCUCAUCAUCACCCACAGGUCUUGUUAUCAUUGUCUGUCUGGAGGGUGGUUUUGGGAAUCCAAAUCGGCAUCCAGAACUUGCACUUUUGAAACAUGUCUUUGAGUGGUUCUUACUGUGUAUUUGCACUUCUUUGACCUUUUUGUACAGUUCAGGCUGUUUAUUUGGGUCAGGGAGCUGAGCAGAGAUGUGUUUGGACACAAAGUCACACACAGUUUUGUCAGAGUCUCUCUCAAACACAGGUGCACCUUCUACCCACAAAAGACCAUGUAUAUGAGGACUUCCCCUGUGCUGAAACUCGAGACGCCAAAAGAAGUCAAAAACUUUGCCCAGGGGUUGUGCAGGAGACAUGAUCAGAUCUCUGUACAGUGCUUCAACACGCUUAUCAAACAUGCGCAUCGUUGUCACAGGAUUGCUUCUCAGAAUGUCACACUUUGUGGACCAGUCGAGCUCUUCAAAAUUCACCUCCUCACCUUGUUGUGAUUUUAUUGCAAUAAUCACCUCAGGCCAACGCAUUUCUGCUGCAGAAAAUGUGACAAAGAAAGUAGGACUGCCCAACUGUCUGAUCAUAGCAAACAGAUCUUUUGUAGUUUUGUCCCAGUAGGCUGGUGUUCCUCUGAGCGGCUGCAUAAAUCUGAUAGCAUCUCUGUUUCUCACCAGUCUCUCCACUUCGUAUUUGUCUCUCAACAUUCUGGAUGUUAUUUUACGUCCGUCUCUGGUCAAAGGUUUGCCUUUGCGUAACUGUAUUGACAUGCUGGAGGUAGCCAAGUGUAUUUCAGUCACAAACUGUGCAAAGAACAGGUAGUUGGUAUCUUUGGCAAAGCGAUCAUCAACACCAAAGAGCCUUGCUUUAAAAUAACUACUGGGUGAUAGUUUCAUUGGUCUGUUUUCAUCCAGUGUAUUCUCACCAGUGGGAAACUGAACAGGGAACGCCAUGGCCUCUAGUUUGGGUGUUUUGAAAAAACUGACUGGAUUGUUUCUCUCUGCUGGAGCUACUGAGUAUGUAGAGUCACUGAAACACAAUAUCUCCUCAGAAACAUCACGUGGCUGAAGGCACGACUCCAAAACAACACCACCAUUAGAUAUGUCUGCAUCCUGUUGUUGUGUCUGAUCAUCAUUGUCCUGGGUCUGACUUUUAUCACACAGCUCUGUGUUUUCAUCCUCAUUUUCAACAUUAGUUUCAGCCUCAUACAUGGCAGCAGCCUCAAUUCUAUCAAUCUCCAUCAAAUCCUCAUCAUCAUAGUCAUCAUCAUUCAUUGUGUUAUCAUCAUCAUCCUCAUCCUCAUCCUCAUCACCAUCAUCAGGAAGUGUGGGGUCACAUAACUCCUCCUCAUCUCUAAUAGUGAUGUCUUCAUACUGGGGGUGUAUCUCUUUCAGUUUAUGCAGAGCCUGCACUAGCUUGGACCAGGUAACAGUCUGAAACAGAUGGUGACCUCUGUAACUCAAGCGUCUCUUCAGUUUUACUCUCAUCACCUGAGACUCAUUUCUCAAUCUGGGUAGAGCCUGAAUUGUUUCCUGGACUUCAGAGGGAACACAUACAACAUUACCAUGUAUAGCUCUCUGUCUGCCUUUGGGAAGAGGAAUGAUUUUGGCAAAUGUUAUGCACUUUGCUAUCAGAUGUCUCUCCAGUAUGUUGAGGUCACACAGCUCAGGUGGUAUGUCAGCAAGCUCCAAGUUGUUUGCUAUGGCAAGUUUGGGCAUGGAUCCAUUUUUCAGAUGGUCAUGGCAGGUGUGACAAAUCCACUCAGUCUUUCUCUCAUCAGGGACAGUGCACUGAUUUCUGCAGUCAUCUUUACAUCAUGGACGUACUGACCUUUGAGACAAGCUGAAACCAUGAUUGGAUUUUUCACA
rnacentral:lncRNA from 1 species